rnacentral:rRNA from 1 species
GAUGAACGCUGGCGGCGUGCCUAAUACAUGCAAGUCGAGCGAACAGAUGAGGAGCUUGCUCCUCUGACGUUAGCGGCGGACGGGUGAGUAACACGUGGAUAACCUACCUAUAAGACUGGGAUAACUUCGGGAAACCGGAGCUAAUACCGGAUAAUAUAUUGAACCGCAUGGUUCAAUAGUGAAAGACGGUUUUGCUGUCACUUAUAGAUGGAUCCGCGCCGCAUUAGCUAGUUGGUAAGGUAACGGCUUACCAAGGCAACGAUGCGUAGCCGACCUGAGAGGGGGAUCGGCCACACUGGAACUGGGACACGGUCCAGACUCCUACGGGAGGCAGCAGUAGGGAAUCUUCCGCAAUGGGCGAAAGCCUGACGGAGCAACGCCGCGUGAGUGAUGAAGGUCUUCGGAUCGUAAAACUCUGUUAUUAGGGAAGAACAAAUGUGUAAGUAACUAUGCACGUCUUGACGGUACCUAAUCAGAAAGCCACGGCUAACUACGUG